rnacentral:rRNA from 1 species
GCAAGUCGAGCGGAAACGAAAGUAGCUUGCUACUUUGCUGUCGAGCGGCGGACGGGUGAGUAAUGCCUAGAUAUCUGCCUAGUCGUGGGGGAUAACAGUUGGAAACGACUGCUAAUACCGCAUACGCCCUACGGGGGAAAGGAGGGGACCUUCGGGCCUCUCGCGUCAGGAUAUGCCUAGGUGGGAUUAGCUAGUUGGUGAGGUAAUGGCUCACCAAGGCGACGAUCCCUAGCUGGUCUGAGAGGAUGAUC